CAUAACUAUUAAAAGUCUUAACAUUACUGCGAAGAAGGUUGCUAUAACCGUUGAAAGUGUUAACAUUACUCCAAAGGUGGUUGCCAUAACUGUUGAAAGUGUUAACAUUACUCCAAAGGUGGUUGCCAUAACUGUUGAAAGUGUUAACAUUACUCCAAAGGUGGUUGCCAUAACUGUUGAAAGUGUUAACAUUACUCUAAAGGUGGUUGCCAUAACUGUUGAAAGUGUUAACAUUACUCCAAAGGUGGUUGCCAUAACUGUUGAAAGUGUUAACAUUACUCUGAAAAAGGUUGCCCAUACCGUUGAAAGUGUUAACAUUACUCCAAAGGUGGUUGCCAUAACCGUUGAAAGUUUGAACAUUACUCUAUCGGUGGUUGACUUUUCUGUUGAAAGUGUUAACAUUAAUGCAAAGUUGGUUGCCAAUUCUGUUGACAAUGUUAACAAUACUCAAUAGUUGAUCGGCAUUAUUGUUGAAAGUGUUAAUAGUGUUCCAUAGGUGGAUGGCAUAAAUUUUACUCCAAAGGUGGUUGCCAUAACCGUUGAAAGUGUUAAUAGUUCCAUAGGUGGUUGCCAUAACCGUUGACAGUGUUAACACUACUCUAUCGGUGGUUGGCAUAACUGUUGAAAGUGUUAACAUUGCUCAAUUUGUGGUUGAUAUUACUGUUGAAAGUGUAAAAAGUACCCAAUUAGUAGUAACUAAUUGUAAAUCCUAAAUUUUAAAGGCUAGACGACCUGGAUACUUCAUUUUUUGUUUACAGAUGCCUUACAUUACAAGGUUCCAUCGGUCAUAUGUCUCAUAUUCAUGAUUAGACGAGUGCGUUAAAAACUAUAUUCUUUUUAAACCUGAAUUUCUCACUCGUUAUGCACAAUAGGGUAAGUAAAUUUGGUAUAUGGAAUCCUUGCAAGGUCUACCUUUUUGUGAGUCACAGUUCACCGUGACCUUAUUUACUGAACCAGUGAUCAAGGUUAGAUUUCGAUGUAUAUUUAAGUUUUUAUAAGGAAUAGGUCAACAACUAUAUUUGUCGUAUGGAAGGACUGUAGUGUGUACAUGUCUGUCUGUCAGGGUUCAUAAGACCUUGACCUCAUUUUCAUGGUUUAGUGGUAAAAGUUAAGUUUUGGAGUUUUGUCUGUUUACUAUUAGCGAGAGGCCAACUAUAUUUGGUGUAUGGAAUGAUUGUAUUGUACAUGUCAGAUUGACAGGGUUUAUAUGACCUUGGUCUCAUUUUCGUGGUACAUUGGUCAACGUUAAGUUUAAGUGGUUUUGUAUGUUUCUUAGAUACUUUUAGCAAUAGGUCAAGUAUAGUUGUUGCAUGGACUGAUUGAAACAUGUGCAGGGUUCACGUACCUUGAACUAAUUAAGGUUUAUAUAAGUUUUCUAGACCUGCUUUAAAAAAAUCUCAAAAUAUUAUUCAGAUAUAAAAAAUUAAGUAGGCGAGACAUUUCAGCGUGUGCAAUCUGGUUUUAUUUUGAGGGGACAUAAAAAUUUUGUUUCUCUAAAUAUUAAUUAUGUACAUCAUGUAUUGUCUUGAUAUAUAAAUUUCCUUUACACAAGACCAAGAAACAGAAAAAUUGCGAGAACAGCAGGCACAGAAGAGAAUAAUUAACUGUCAAAAACAAUUACUUAAUGCUAGAACAAAUAAUUUAAAUGUGAAUAAUUUUAUUUCAUUGCCAAUUCAAUUUUGCAUGUACACCUCCAUCUUUCAAAUCUACUUGUUUAAUUUUAUAGACUGGUUUCAGUAAUAAAACAUUGAAAUUUCUAAUGAUUAUUUUCUUUACCAAAUGUACAAGUUUGUUUAGAUUGAAAUAAAAUAAUAUGUUUUGCUU